UACGUAGGUGGCAAGCGUUGUCCGGAAUUAUUGGGCGUAAAGGGCGUGUAGGCGGUUUAUUAAGUCUGAUGUGAAAGCCCCCGGCUCAACCGGGGAGGGUCAUUGGAAACUGGUAAACUAGAGUACGGUAGAGGAGAGUGGAAUUCCUAGUGUAGCGGUAAAAUGCGUAGAUAUUAGGAGGAACACCAGUGGCGAAGGCGACUCUCUGGACCGGUACUGACGCUGAGGCGCGAAAGCGUGGGGAGCGAACAGG
rnacentral:rRNA from 1 species